CCUACGGGUGACAGCAGUGGGGAAUAUUGCACAAUGGGGGAAACCCUGAUGCAGCGACGCCGCGUGAGUGAAGAAGUAAUUCGUUAUGUAAAGCUCUAUCAGCAGGGAAGAAAGUGACGGUACCUGAGUAAGAAGCCCCUGCUAACUACGUGCCAGCAGCCGCGGUAAUACGUAGGGGGCAAGUGUUAUCCGGAUUUACUGGGUGGAAAGGGAGCGUAGACGGCAGUGCAAGUCUGGAGUGAAAGGCGGGGGCUCAACCCCCGGACUGCUCUGGAAACUGUACGGCUGGAGUGCAGGAGAGGUAAGUGGAAUUCCUAGUGUAGCGGUGAAAUGCGUAGAUAUUAGGAGGAACACCAGUGGCGAAGGCGGCUUACUGGAAUGUAACUGACGUUGAGGCUCGAAAGCGUGGGGAGCAAACAGGAUUAGAUACCCGAGUAGUC
rnacentral:rRNA from 1 species